rnacentral:rRNA from 1 species
CUUUAACUGACGCUGAGGCACGAAAGCGUGGGUAGCAAACAGGAUUAGAUACCCUGGUAGUCCACGCUGUAAACGAUGAUUACUAGGUGUGGGGGGACUGACCCCUUCCGUGCCGGAGUUAACACAAUAAGUAAUCCACCUGGGGAGUACGGCCGCAAGGUUGAAACUCAAAGGAAUUGACGGGGGCCCGCACAAGCAGUGGAGUAUGUGGUUUAAUUCGAAGCAACGCGAAGAACCUUACCAGGCCUUGACAUCCGACUAACGAAGUAGAGAUACAUCAGGUGCCCUUCGGGGAAAGUCGAGACAGGUGGUGCAUGGUUGUCGUCAGCUCGUGUCGUGAGAUGUUGGGUUAAGUCCCGCAACGAGCGCAACCCUUGCUAUUAGUUGCUACGCAAGAGCACUCUAAUAGGACUGCCGUUGACAAAACGGAGGAAGGUGGGGACGACGUCAAAUCAUCAUGCCCCUUAUGACCUGGGCUACACACGUACUACAAUGGCCAUCAACAGAGGGAAGCAAAACAGCGAUGUGGAGCAAACCCCUAAAAAUGGUCUCAGUUCAGAUUGCAGGCUGCAACCCGCCUGCAUGAAGUCGGAAUUGCUAG